rnacentral:SRP_RNA from 1 species
ACCAGGCAUGGUGUCAAAUGCUUAUCAUCCUUUCUGCCAGGGAGUUUGAGUCUAAUGGAUUGUUUGAGUUGGAGAGUUCUGAGCUUCAGUGUGCUAAGCCAAUCAGGUGUCUGCCCUUAGUCUGGCAUCAAUAUGGUAAGUCUCUGGGAGUUGGAAACCACCAGGUUGCCUAAGGAGGGGUAAACUGGCCCAUGUUGGAAAGGGAGCAGGUCAGACCUUCUGAGCUGAUCAGUAGAGGUAUCAGGUCUAUGAGAGACCUUCAGUCUCUCAGACUUCAGACUUCAGACUUCA